AGUGAUGAAGGCCUUCGGGUUGUAAAGCUCUUUCGCACGCGACGAUGAUGACGGUAGCGUGAGAAGAAGCCCCGGCUAACUUCGUGC
rnacentral:rRNA from 1 species